UUAUAUUUUUGCCUGGCCACGAUCGACUGGACUAACAGUCGCGAUCGACCGGGUGUCAACAAAAACUGUAU